UGGGGAAUAUUGGACAAUGGGCGCAAGCCUGAUCCAGCCAUGCCGCGUGAGUGAUGAAGGCCUUAGGGUUGUAAAGCUCUUUCGCCCACGACGAUAGUGACGGUAGUGGGAGAAGAAGCCCCGGCUAACUUCGUGCCAGCAGCCGCGGUAAUACGAAGGGGGCUAGCGUUGUUCGGAAUUACUGGGCGUAAAGCGCGUGUAGGCGGGUCCUUAAGUCAGGGGUGAAAUGCCAAGGCUCAACCUUGGAACUGCCUUUGAUACUGGGGAUCUUGAGUCCGGGAGAGGUGAGUGGAACUGCGAGUGUAGAGGUGAAAUUCGUAGAUAUUCGCAAGAACACCAGUGGCGAAGGCGGCUCACUGGCCCGGAACUGACGCUGAGACGCGAAAGCGUGGGGAGCAAAC
rnacentral:rRNA from 1 species